rnacentral:lncRNA from 1 species
AUGGGAGCGGUGAAUCAGCAGCGCCCGAGGCGGCAGCGGGCAGAGCCGUGCGCAGGCUGCGAGCGGGGGGCGGAGGUUUUGCACUCCUCUCUCCCGCCGUGGAUAAAUAGCGGCGGCACGGGCAGCGCGAAGCUCCAGCCCCAGCACUGUCGUCCCACGGUCGCAUCAUGGACUCCCAGGACUGCCCUUGUGCCACCGGCGGCACGUGCACGUGCGGGGACAACUGCAAAUGUAAAAACUGCAAAUGCACAUCGUGCAAAAAAGGCUGCUGCUCCUGCUGCCCUGCAGGAUGUGCCAAGUGUGCACAGGGCUGUGUCUGCAAAGGACCCCCCUCUGCCAAGUGCAGCUGCUGCAAGUAGUGGCCCCCCCCCCCCGCCACGCUGAGGAAAACUAACCUUAUUGUAUGUGUUUUUUUAUAUGUACAUUCGGAUCGUGUCAGUGUUCAGCACGUGUGCCAUGAGCUCCCUGAAUAAAGCUGUGUGUAACUUUAUAACUGCGCCUCUG